GACGAACGCUGGCGGCGUGCCUAAUACAUGCAAGUCGAGCGGACGAAUCGAAAGCUUGCUUUUGAUUCGUUAGCGGCGGACGGGUGAGUAACACGUGGGCAACCUGCCCUGUAGACGGGGAUAACACCGAGAAAUCUGUGCUAAUACCGGAUAACACGAAAUGUCGCAUGACGUUUCGUUGAAAGACGGCGCAAGCUGUCGCUACAGGAUGGGCCCGCGGCGCAUUAGCUAGUUGGUGAGGUAACGGCUCACCAAGGCGACGAUGCGUAACCGACCUGAGAGGGUGAUCGGCCACACUGGGACUGAGACACGGCCCAGACUCCUACGGGAGGCAGCAGUAGGGAAUCUUCCGCAAUGGACGAAAGUCUGACGGAGCAACGCCGCGUGAGCGAAGAAGGCCUUCGGGUCGUAAAGCUCUGUUGUUGGGGAAGAACAAGUAACGCAGUAACUGGCGUUACCGUGACGGUACCUACAGAGAAAGCCACGGCUAACUACGUG
rnacentral:rRNA from 1 species